CAGCAGCCACGGUAAUACGUAGGGUGCAAGCGUUAAUCGGAAUUACUGGGCGUAAAGCGUGCGCAGGCGGUUAUAUAAGACAGAUGUGAAAUCCCCGGGCUCAACCUGGGAACUGCAUUUGUGACUGUAUAGCUAGAGUACGGCAGAGGGGGAUGGAAUUCCGCGUGUAGCAGUGAAAUGCGUAGAUAUGCGGAGGAACACCGAUGGCGAAGGCAAUCCCCUGGGCCUGUACUGACGCUCAUGCACGAAAGCGUGGGGAGCAAACAGGAUUAGAGACCCCUGUAGUCCCUGUCUCUUAUCC
rnacentral:rRNA from 1 species